CUGGGCCGAGGCCACGGUCGGGUCCCCCCCUGGUGGUCCGGGACACCCCAACUUUCAGCCCCUUCGAGAUCCGGGUCCAGGCGCUCAACGAGGCCGGGAAGGGCCCCGAGCCCCCCGUGGUCAUCGGCUACUCCGGGGAGGACCUGCCGCUGGUGUACCCCGAAAAUGUGGGGGUGGAGAUCCUGAACAGCAGCAGCGUCCGCGUCUCCUGGAGCCUGAGCGGGGCCGAGCGGGACCUGCGGGGCCGCCUGCGGGGCUACCGGAUUCUGUACUGC